GAACUUCAGGAUACAGUUGAGGAGUUGCAUGAGAUAAUAGCUGAACAAUAGACUGCAAUGACACAAAAAGACGGUGAGAUCCAAGAUCGUGAAGAACGACUGACAAAUGUCGAGGAGAAACUAGUACAGACUGAAGGAGAGAAGGAACAACUGUGGCGACCCCAAAUCCGGAUACUUGAAACCCGAACUCGGUUCUCCGCGAUACCAUUUCUUUAAGCUGAAUAAUACUAAAUAAUAAUAUAAUUCGAACUUAAUUUACAUACAUCAAAGUUUACUUCCCCAGGUACGUGACCUUCAAAUACAUUCCUUACAAUACCUGACAAUAGAUUCCAUUGUCUUACUAACUAUAACCAUUAACUCAUACUAAAUCUCAUUCGAACAGCUUUUCUUUUCCCUUGUUCGUGCCUGAGCCUUCAGGUCN
rnacentral:lncRNA from 1 species